rnacentral:misc_RNA from 1 species
GAUGAAGAACGUAGCGAAAUGCGAUAAGUAAUGUGAAUUGCAGAAUUCAGUGAAUCAUCGAAUCUUUGAACGCACAUUGCGCCCGCCAGUAUUCUGGCGGGCAUGCCUGUUCGAGCGUCAUUACAACCCUCAGGCCCCCGGGCCUGGCGUUGGGGAUCGGCGGAAGCCCCCUGUGGGCACACGCCGUCCCUCAAAUACAGUGGCGGUCCCGCCGCAGCUUCCAUUGCGUAGUAGCUAACACCUCGCAACUGGAGAGCGGCGCGGCCAUGCUGUAAAACACCCAACUUCUGAAUGUUGACCUCGAAUCAGGUAGGAAUACCCGCUGAACUUAAGCAUAUCAAUAAGCGGAGGA